AGUGAACGCUGGCGGCGUGCUUAACACAUGCAAGUCGAACGAGAACGGAUUAUAGCUUGCUAUAAUUGUCAGCUAAGUGGCGCACGGGUGAGUAAUGUAUAGAUAACCUGCCCUCUAGAAAGGAAUAACAGUUGGAAACGACUGCUAAUGCCCUAUAUGCCUUUAAUACAUAAGUAUGCAAGGGAAACGCUUUAGUGCUAGAGGAUGGGUCUGUAUGGUAUCAGUUAGUUGGUGAGGUAAUGGCUCACCAAGACAAUGACGCCUAACUGGUUUGAGAGGAUGAUCAGUCACACUGGAACUGAGACACGGUCCAGACUCCUACGGGAGGCAGCAGUGGGGAAUAUUGCACAAUGGACGAAAGUCUGAUGCAGCAACGCCGCGUGGAGGAUGACACAUUUCGGUGCGUAAACUCCUUUUAUAUAGGAAGAUAAUGACGGUACUAUAUGAAUAAGCACCGGCUAUCUCCGUGCCAGCAGCCGCCGUAA
rnacentral:rRNA from 1 species